rnacentral:rRNA from 1 species
UAUAACUUUCAGCAAUGGAUGUCUUGGKUCCCAUAUUGAUGAAGAAUGCAGCGAAAUGCGAUACCUGUUGUGAAUUGUAAGACUUCGUGAAUCMUCAAAAUUU